rnacentral:rRNA from 1 species
GUGGGGAAUAUUGGACAAUGGGCGAAAGCCUGAUCCAGCCAUGCCGCGUGUGUGAAGAAGGUCUUCGGAUUGUAAAGCACUUUAAGUUGGGAGGAAGGGCAGUAAAUUAAUACCUUGCUGUUUUGACGUUACCAACAGAAUAAGCACCGGCUAACUUCGUGCCAGCAGCCGCGGUAAUACGAAGGGUGCAAGCGUUAAUCGGAAUUACUGGGCGUAAAGCGCGCGUAGGUGGUUCAGCAAGUUGAAGGUGAAAUCCCCGGGCUCAACCUGGGAACUGCCUCCAAAACUACUGAGCUAGAGUACGGUAGAGGGUAGUGGAAUUUCCUGUGUAGCGGUGAAAUGCGUAGAUAUAGGAAGGAACACCAGUGGCGAAGGCGACUACCUGGACUGAUACUGACACUGAGGUGCGAAAGCGUGGGGAGCAAACAGGAUUAGAAACCCCUGUAGUCC